rnacentral:rRNA from 1 species
UGGGGAAUUUUGGACAAUGGGGGCAACCCUGAUCCAGCCAUGCCGCGUGAGUGAAGAAGGCCUUCGGGUUGUAAAGCUCUUUCGGCGGGGACGAAACGGUUCGCGCUAACACCGCGGACUAAUGACGGUACUCGCAGAAGAAGCACCGGCUAACUACGUGCCAGCAGCCGCGGUAAUACGUAGGGUGCAGGCGUUAAUCGGAAUUACUGGGCGUAAAGCGUGCGCAGGCGGCUCCUUAAGUCAGAUGUGAAAGCCCCGGGCUUAACCUGGGAACUGCGUUUGAAACUGGGGAGCUGGAGUGUAGAAGAGGGGGGUGGAAUUCCAGGUGUAGCAGUGAAAUGCGUAGAGAUCUGGAGGAACACCGAUGGCGAAGGCAGCCCCCUGGGCUAACACUGACGCUCAUGCACGAAAGCGUGGGGAGCAAACAGGAUUAGAUACCCUCGUAGUCCCUGAGCGGGCUGGCAAGGCGCAU